ACCUGGGUGGCUCAGUCAGUUAAGCAUCUGACUUCGGCUCAGGUCAUGAUACCAUGGUUCAUGGGUUCAAAGCCCUGCCUCAGGUU
rnacentral:tRNA from 1 species